CCUACGGGUGGCAGCAGUCGAGAAUCAUUCACAAUGGGGGCAACUCUGAUGGUGCGAUGCCGCGUGGGGGAAUGAAGCUCUUCGGAUUGUAAACCCCUGUUAUGUGGGAGCAAAUUCAAAAGCUAGUACCACACUAGGAAGAGCCUGCUAACUCUGUUCGAGCAGCCGCGGUAAUACAGAGGUCUCAAGCGUUGUUCGGAAUCACUGGGCGUAAGGCGUGCGUAGGAUGUUUCGUAAGUCGUGUGUGAAAGGCGCGGGCUCAACCCGCGGAUGGCACAUGAUACUGCGAGACUAGAGUUAUGGAGGGGGAAGCGGAAUGCACGGUGUAGCAGUGAAAUGCGUAGAGAUCG
rnacentral:rRNA from 1 species